GACAACUUGGUUAAGUGGUCCAAAACGUGUAACUCGAAUUUAUUUAUCAUUUGAGGCGUAGGUUCAAAUCUUUUGAUGUCU
rfam:Entamoeba invadens IP1 unplaced genomic scaffold scaff_1105074726653, whole genome shotgun sequence.